AUUGAACGCUGGCGGCAUGCUUUACACAUGCAAGUCGAACGGUAACAGGCCGCAAGGUGCUGACGAGUGGCGAACGGGUGAGUAAUGCAUCGGAACGUGCCCAGUCGUGGGGGAUAACGCAGCGAAAGCUGCGCUAAUACCGCAUACGAUCUAUGGAUGGAAGCGGGGGACCGUAAGGCCUCGCGCGAUUGGAGCGGCCGAUGUCAGAUUAGGUAGUUGGUGGGGUAAAGGCUCACCAAGCCAACGAUCUGUAGCUGGUCUGAGAGGACGACCAGCCACACUGGGACUGAGACACGGCCCAGACUCCUACGGGAGGCAGCAGUGGGGAAUUUUGGACAAUGGGCGCAAGCCUGAUCCAGCAAUGCCGCGUGCAGGAAGAAGGCCUUCGGGUUGUAAACUGCUUUUGUACGGAACGAAACGGUCUUGGUUAAUACCCGGGGCUAAUGACGGUACCGUAAGAAUAAGCACCGGCUAACUACGUGCCAGCCGCCGCGGUAAAAC
rnacentral:rRNA from 1 species